rnacentral:tRNA from 1 species
CGGGGUAUAGCUCAGUUUGGUAGAGCGCUUGCUUGGGGUGCAAGAGGCCAGCGGUUCAAAUCCGCUUACUCCGACCA